rnacentral:rRNA from 1 species
UUUUGAUCCUGGCUCAGAACGAACGCUGGCGGCGUGCCUAACACAUGCAAGUCGCACGAGAAAGGGCUUCGGCCUGAGUAAAGUGGCGCACGGGUGAGUAACACGUGACUAAUCUACCCUCGAGUGGGGAAUAACCUAGGGAAACCUGGGCUAAUACCGCAUAACACUCACGAGUCAAAGCAGCAAUGCGCUUGGGGAGGAGGUCGCGGCAGAUUAGCUAGUUGGUGGGGUAAUGGCCUACCAAGGCGAUGAUCUGUAUCCGGCCUGAGAGGGCGCACGGACACACUGGAACUGAAACACGGUCCAGACUCCUACGGGAGGCAGCAGUGGGGAAUUUUGCGCAAUGGGGGAAACCCUGACGCAGCAACGCCGCG